rnacentral:rRNA from 1 species
UGGGGAAUAUUGGACAAUGGGCGAAAGCCUGAUCCAGCCAUGCCGCGUGUGUGAAGAAGGCCUUUUGGUUGUAAAGCACUUUAAGCGAGGAGGAGGCUACUUAGAUUAAUACUCUAGGAUAGUGGACGUUACUCGCAGAAUAAGCACCGGCUAACUCUGUGCCAGCAGCCGCGGUAAUACAGAGGGUGCGAGCGUUAAUCGGAUUUACUGGGCGUAAAGCGUGCGUAGGCGGCUUUUUAAGUCGGAUGUGAAAUCCCUGAGCUUAACUUAGGAAUUGCAUUCGAUACUGGGAAGCUAGAGUAUGGGAGAGGAUGGUAGAAUUCCAGGUGUAGCGGUGAAAUGCGUAGAGAUCUGGCAGAAUACCGAUGGCGAAGGCAGCCAUCUGGUCUAAUACUGACGCUGAGGUACGAAAGCAUGGGGAGCAAACAGG